AAAGGAAUAGACGGGGGCCCGCACAAGCGGUGGAGCAUGUGGUUUAAUUCGAUGCAACGCGAAGAACCUUACCAGGGCUUGACAUCCCUCUGACGGGUCUAGAGAUAGGCCUUCCCUUUGGGCAGAGGAGACAGGUGGUGCAUGGCUGUCGUCAGCUCGUGUCGUGAGAUGUUGGGUUAAGUCCCGCAACGAGCGCAACCCUUGCCUUUAGUUGCCAUCAUUAAGUUGGGCACUCUAGAGGGACUGCCGGCGACAAGUCGGAGGAAGGUGAGGUUGACGUCAAGUCAUCAUGCCCCUUAUGUCCUGGGCUACACACGUGCUACAAUGGGCAGUACAGAGGGGAGCGAAGGGGUGACCUGGAGCAAAUCCCAAAAAGCUGCUCUCAGUUCGGAUUGCAGUCUGCAACUCGACUGCAUGAAGUCGGAAUCGCUAGUAAUCUCGGGUCAGCAUACCGAGGUGAAUACGUUCCCGGGCCUUGUACACACCGCCCGU
rnacentral:rRNA from 1 species